AGAGCCAGAGAGAAAGCGAGGGAGAGAGAGCAGAUGGAAACAGUGUAACUCAAGGCAACUCAGGGUGCAGCAGCAACAGAAGCAGCGUUUCCUUCUAUGGAUUGAAGGGAGGAAAUCCUCUUCUUCGUCGUCGCCUGCAUGCAAAUGCAGAACGGGACAGAAUAAGGCUUAACACACUCGUCUGAAAAACAGCACUUGGCUUUGCGGCAAUGGGAGCUUUUCGAGCCCGAGAUGCAAGGCAUCAUCCCUGACAAUUUCCCAGAGCAUCCACAAAGGCUCAUACAGGUGACAAGUGUGUCCAACUUCACUGCACCGCCUGCAUUGACGCGCUUCAGAGUGCGUUUCGUCCAGCGGCAGUGCGCUGCGUGAGACCCGCCGCUCUUGUUUUGACGUGACAUUUCGCUUGAGCUGCAGCGCAUAUGUGGCCACAUAUGACGCAUUUGCGCCUUCAGCUGUUUUGGACGCAUGGAGUGUUGCGUUUCCGGACAAGUUUUUGUGCUGAUUGGUAUGUUCGUCAUGUCCGCCUGGGUUAACUUGCGCGUUUCUCUGUAGAGUCACACAGAGCCGCUCUCGGUGCAGAAGUUGGUUGGGAAUAAUAAUAGAGACAGUGCGGAGCGCAGAGGAGGAAAAUAGAGGUGACAGCGGCGUUCAGGGGAUGUUGAGCGGCUGAAUUUACUUGCAGCAUUAUCAGCAUAUAUCCGUGUGAGGAUCAAAACUGCGAGGGACUGCUGCUGCUCACUCCUCUUCAUCUUCAUAUACUAACAGUUUUUUGCAGAAGCCUGCCAGUGAAUCCCAGCUCCUGAAACCACAGCUGCGUAAACUUGGCCAGAUCUGGUGACAUUGUACCCUGUGUGUUUGUGUGUGUGUGUGUGUGUGUGUGUGUGUGUGCGUGUGUGUGCGUGUGCGUGUGUGUGUGUGUGUGUGUGCUGAGCAGCCUGGAUGGAUAUGCGGCUCACCGAGGGAAUUUGAAAAGCAAGAGGGAAUUACUAUCAGCUCCUCUCUUCUAUUAUAACCUCAAAAUGGAUGCCGACGACAGGCUGUGGAGACGCCACUGGAUUUGCCACUCUUCCGCUGAUCUGCUUGACAUCUGAGAGGCGCAAGCGUUCAAAGUUUGGAUAAUCUAAAAGGCUGAAGGUGUAGGAUGCAGUCUGGAGUGAAGACGCUCUCCGCAGGUGGAGGUGCGUCACUCUGCUGCCUGCUGCUCCUCUGGCUCAUCUACUCCCAUCUGCUCAGAGAGGGCCAGUUGGCGGUAGGAACCUGCGAGAUAGUGAUGCUCAACAGAGACAGCAGCGUUCCCAGACGGACCAUCGCUAGGCAGACGGCCCGCUGCGCCUGCCGGAGAGGCCAGAUUGCUGGGACCACCAGGGCGAGGCCAGCAUGUGUAGACGCGCGAAUCGUGCGGAGUCGUCAGUGGUGUGAGAUGGCUCCCUGCCUGGAGGGGGAGGUCUGCAGCCUCCUGUUCAACCGAUCUGGCUGGACCUGCACCAAGGGCAGUGGUCGCAUCAAGACCGUCACGCAGCCCUGGGCAGCUGCGGCAGAUUUCAUGCACGCAUUCCCAUCGUGCUCUAAUCUACCCUGACAGCACACUUAGCCUUUGCCCAAGGAGCCAUCAUAGGUUGCAUAGAAAACAGCAAGUAUAUUCAUUGACAUCCAUGCUACAAAAGGAACUGAGGCCAGUCACUACACCACAAUAUUGUAUCCAUAUACCAACGAGACUCCCAAACUUUACACCAGGUUUGACCUUCAGUAAAAAAAAAAAUUAAAAUAAUCCAAAGCUUUUCUAAUCACCACAGUGAAAGACUCUCGACAGACACUUCUGAGAACUCUGAGAAGUCUCAUGUGAAGAGCAUGGUACACCAUCGGCAUUAAAUCUUCACUGCAGCCAAAUUUGUGGACACAUCAUAGAACAAAAUCCCUGUGGGGAACAUUUAUCAACAGGGCGGUGGAAUAUUCAUUGAAGUACAUUACCUUUUUUUUGUCCUUGUAAUCCAACACCAGGUCUGCAGGGGACGGCUCCUUGAAGAUUUAGACUUGUCAGAAGGUUUUUCAGAAGUCGGCCCCUUCGUCUUGUUUACUAUCCCCACUAUGAAGCUGUCCAGGGUUAUAUUGCAGACAAGUUUCUUUAAUGACAACUCGCUGCUAAAGAGUCAUGACUUUACAGAGGUUGAGAAAGGCUGUAUUGUCCAUUGGAUUCUUUAUCUCAUUUGGCCGGGUCAAAAUCUCUGCAUACACACACACAAAGGACGGAACAUUGUGAAAAAGCAUGAAACUCUAUUGGAAUGCCACAGAAGAGACGACAGAGAUGAGUUGACUGUCUUUACUCAAUGACUGAAGGUCAUGAUGGUCAAAUGUGGACAUUUUGGACGACUUAGCUUAUAACUUAUGUUUUUUUAUGUGGUGCCAACAUACAGUAGACUAGAAGAGUAGAUUUUGUCAAUGAACCUCACGCAUCUUGUACACAUCACUGGGAGCAUUAAGCAUAUGUGGACCCCUGGCUCAUUUUAAUGGUCUACACUUUGUAGGUGCGUGCGUGCAUGCAUGUGUGUGCGUGCUUGCAUCUGUCCAUGUGUGAAUAUGUGUAUACAUGCUUGUGUGCCUGUGUGUGAGUGAGCGUGCACAUCCAGAUAUACACUGUGAAAUAAGUCAUAUUCAAUGCAUUAUUCAUACUCUUGUAUAUUUUUGGGACACACCCAGACCAGAGCUUACCAUCUGGCAAGAGAAGCAUUUGUGGUUUUACAGAUGUUGGAUCUCAUUUAAAUCUUCACGGAUGAAUCCUGGCUUUGCCUUUUCUUUUCUUUCAUGUCUUUUAUUUAGUACAUAGAUAUAUUUAUAUUGGGGGAAAUAUUAUUAAAACUGGGGACAGAUCUGCAGUAUGUCACAUAAGUUAAAUUCUGUAAUUAAAAUCAAUUCAUGCGUAAUUAAAUGUAUUCAGAAUCCUUGUCUAAAUUGACUAUAUUUUGAUAUGAAAUGUUUUGGUCAGCUGGACAUGCUAUUUGCUGAUUUCAGAUGCUUGAUAUAUUUGAAAUUGUGUAUAUAUAUUCAAUUAAUGUAUUUUAUGUUCUGUGGGUCUCAUUCCAAGAGGAAGUAAAGAAAAGGAGGAGCACAAGAGGCAUUCUUCUGAAAGAAGUACAAGAGGUGGACACAAUAACAUGAAUACCAGUUACUAUAAUACCAGAUAUUUCAAAAACACAGAAUAGGAUAAAACACUAUCCAAAUACCACAACCUAAUAAGCUAUGGUCUGCAAGAUGAAUGAACAUCCUUAAGUCUAAAAAAAUAACCUUCACAGAGGUAGUGUUUGUUGUAGGGCAAUUACAAUAGAUUGCAUAAUAUUGUACAGGUGUUCCUGUUAAUAUGUCUACACCCUGUUUUUUUCAUUUCUUUGUACUAAAAAAAUCUGUACAUCUCCAUCUUAAUGUAUGCAUUUGAGUAUAUAAAGAGAGUGUCCGCUCCCCCGAGCUGCGGAGUGUGUA